GAAAAAAAACCCAAAACGGAAGGAGUAGUUUCUCAAACACAUCGGAGAUCACGGAGGUCCCCAUAGGAAUGAAUGAAAUUACGGUUGACUCACAUUCACACACUCGCAGUACACAGAGAUACUGUAUGUGGAAACAAGGCGUCAACACCUGAGGUAUGUAGGAAUGUUUGGAGAAAAACCCCCAGUAAUUUAAGGGUUAAUGUAAAGAGUCACACCAUUUCUGAUCAUUCUUAUAUUGGGCUUGCAUGUUGCCAUACUUCUAAGUAAGCCAAAUGAAGUUCACUUCUGUGUUUUGCCUCCAUAAUUUAGAGACUACUUCCAUCCUGACUGAACUCUCACAGAGAUGCAGAGCAGCCAGCUCCUCACUAUUACGUGGAGAGAGAUCAGGCAGCUACUGUGGAAGUCACAGGUGAAGUUCAACAGUGUUUCAGUUCAGAAACACUGUUGUGAUAAAACUGCUCUCAUCUCACAGCGACAUAGAGAAGCCAGCCCGCGAGGGUCUAAGAUCUCCGAGGAAACAACCUCCCGACUCGUUCACAGUCUAGACUGAAGACAGAAGGGAACUGACCCUUCAGUGCUCUAUAUCAAACACAGACAUUUAUAUAACUGCCUUUCAUCUGUGUAUGAUGCAGCAUUUUUAUUGCACUCUCUAAAGACGGAAAAUGUGAAAAUAAA